UUUAGUUAUCGAAUAUUCUUCUUUGAUCCUGGAAUAAAAGGCAAAUGCACUAAUCAAAAUUUCAAUGUCAAUGGACACUACCCAAAGCUACUCCAUGAGAACCCGACUUUGGAAGAAGAGAUUGUAGAAGAGCUCUCUUUGGGAAAGGCUGCUUAUGCGAUCAUUUAUCCGCCUUGACUCCUCGGGUGUGUUCUUUCCUUUCUCUCACUCUUAUUUUAUAUUUAUGCUCUUUCAUUGAGGACAAUGUAU
rnacentral:lncRNA from 1 species